AAAUUUGGCUUUCCUCUGAUCAAGGUGGCUGGCUGAUUUUCAAAAUGAUUCCUGCCUCUAUUCAGCUGUGAAAAGAACAGAAGAGACUCAGAUGCCUGAUUCUCCCAGCAAGGCUCAAUUCCUCACACUCUCCAGAAAGUUAUUUAAAGAGUACUAAAGCUAUGACACAAAACAAUGAAACAAACUCACAGAGAGAUCUGAGGUAUUGUCACUAUGGAGCAAUACUGUGUUUUCUCCCGGCAUCUUCUAUCAUGGCUGAGCAUACUGAAUGGGCUCUCUAAAUGGAGUACAACAAGCCCAAUGCAAUCAUCCUUUCAAUUAUC